rnacentral:rRNA from 1 species
AGUGAGAAUGCAGGCAUGAGUAGCGAAAGACGGGUGAGAAACCCGUCCGCCGAAUAUCCAAGGGUUCCAGGGUCAAGCUAAUCUGCCCUGGGUUAGUCGGGACCUAAGGCGAGGCCGACAGGCGUAGUCGAUGGACAACGGGUUGAUAUUCCCGUGACCGGCGAAAUAUCGUCCGUGCUGAGGCGAGUGAUACUAAACAUGCAAGCACUUCUCAAACAGCCUUCGGGUUGUUGGGUUGUGUGAGUCUGUGACCUGAUCUUGUAGUAGGCAAGCUGCGGAGGGACGCAGGAAGGUAGCUCUUCCCGGCUAUGGCUAUGUCGGGUUAAGUGUGUAGGGUGGAGUAUAGGCAAAUCCGUACUCCGUGAUGCCUGAGACAUGAUGUGUCCACACCUUGGUGUGGUAAGAGUGAUCCUAUGCUGCCUAGAAAAGCUUCGUGAGCGAGAUAUGAGCCGCCCGUACCCCAAACCGACACAGGUGGAUAGGUAGAGAAUACCAAGGCGAUCGAGAGAAUCGUGGUGAAGGAACUCGGCAAAAUACCCCCGUAACUUCGGGAUAAGGGGGACCUGACACGUAUAAGAGCUUUGCCUCGAAAGCGUUGAGGGUCGCAGAGACCAGGCCCAAGCGACUGUUUACUAAAAACACAGGUCCGUGCUAAGUCGAAAGACGAUGUAUACGGACUGACUCCUGCCCGGUGCUGGAAGGUUAAGGGGAACUGUUAGUCAGUAAUGGCGAAGCGGUGAACUUAAGCCCCAGUAAACGGCGGUGGUAACUAUAACCAUCCUAAGGUAGCGAAAUUCCUUGUCGGGUAAGUUCCGACCUGCACGAAUGGAGUAACGAUUUGGGCGCUGUCUCCACCACGAACUCGGCGAAAUUGCAUUACGAGUAAAGAUGCUCGUUACGCGCAGCAGGACGGAAAGACCCCGGGACCUUUACUAUAGUUUGGUAUUGGUGAUCGGUGUGACUUGUGUAGGAUAGGUGGGAGACUUUGAAGCCGGGACGCCAGUUCUGGUGGAGUCAUCGUUGAAAUACCACUCUGGUCACUCUGGUUAUCUAACCUAGGUCCAUUAUCUGGAUCAGGGACAGUGCCUGAUGGGUAGUUUGACUGGGGCGGUCGCCUCCUAAAAGGUAACGGAGGCGCCCAAAGGUUCCCUCAGCCUGGUUGGCAAUCAGGUUUUGAGUGUAAGUGCACAAGGGAGCUUGACUGCGAGACAGACAUGUCGAGCAGGGACGAAAGUCGGGACUAGUGAUCUUCUGGUAGCGAAUGGAAGCGCCAGGACUCAACGGAUAAAAGGUACCCCGGGGAUAACAGGCUGAUCUUGCCCGAGCGUCC